rnacentral:lncRNA from 1 species
AAAAAUAAAAUAUUAAUAAGUUAUUUUCCAGCUUAUUUUCCAUGACAUAACCAAACACUGGAAAGUGUUUUCCAGUUCAUUUUCCAUAACACUACCAAACAUCGGAAAAUACUUUCCCGGAAUUCACUUUUCAGGAAUUCACUUUCCCCGGAAUUCACUUUCCAAAAGGAAUUCACUUUCCUGCAAACAAACGGAGCCUUAAU